UUUCAUUUUAGAUGGAGUGACCAAGAGCCUGAGUGAUAAGGUGACUCUAUGGACAUGAAAGUGACAGGUAGGCACCAGGGGGACAGCCUUCCAGGCAGGGGGAACAGUCUGCACAGAGGCCCUGAGGCAGAAGCAAGCCUGAAUGUUUGAGGAACAGUGAGUAUGGCUGGAGUCAACCGAAGGUGGAGCACAGUGGAGGAAAAUGAGGUCAGAGAGUAGGAGACUGAAGGGUUUUGAGCACAAGGGUGGCACGGCAUGACACGUGUUUUAAUAGAAUCUCUCUGGCUGCUGGGUUGAGAAUACACUUAAGGAGGGUAAGGGUGGAGACAAGGAAACCAAUUAAGAAACGACUACCAUGAUCCAGGUGAGAGAUGAUGCAUGUGAUGUCCUUACCUUAGCACCUGACAUGAAACCAACUCUGGAUAAGGAUUCUCAUUAGUGUCCUAUUGUGACCCGAAUCCACACAUGCAUAGCUGGCAAAGGAAGAUCUCAGAUUUGUUUUCUUUUCUGCAUCUUUCUCAACCAUCCAUCUACUACCAUCAUCAUCAUUUUCCCUAAUCUUCUUAAACCCCAUCCUUAAUAUUCUUCCCCCUUUCUUCUCUCUCUGCCUCCUUCUCAUUCUGUUAUCUUCCUUUUAUUACUAUAAUGUUUUUUCUGGGCACAGUUUUGAAGAUUUGUUUUGAAUCUUGAAGAGAGAGCAGCAAGCCUUUUGGCCUAUGGAUUCUAAGAGUCACAUUCCAACAGGUGAUAUCAAAAGGACAAGGAAGCAGGGAGGGGUGACUUGCACGGAAGGUGCCCAGUGAGAUGUCUCUGCCAUGGAGAUUGUGCUGAUGCCACAAGCAAAGCGUUUGUACCCCUCUCAUCCACAAGAGAAGUCCCUCCGGGUAUUUCAGAUGAUACCUGAAAGGAUGAUAAGGCAGGGAAUCAGAGGCUGACACCGCUAUUGGAUGGACUGGGGGAGUGAAGACCAAAAGGUCAUUUUCAGGAAAAAAAUAAAUUAGGAAGUACAGGGAUAAGACAGAAGCCACCACCAAUAACUCCACACCUACAGCUCCAAAGCAUGUGAUUCAGAAGGAUCCUUGUUGAUAUUGGCCAUCACCUUGUGUCACAAUACCAGUGGCCGCAGAGAUUUAAAUAAAUGCAUCCCAGAUACAGAGUUAAAAGCAUGCCAACAAUGAGGGCUGUGUGGUUUGGAGAAGAGCAGAAGAGCACACUGCUUUCAGUCAGGCAGAGGCAGAUUAGAUUGCCUGCCACCUCCAGUGGGAUGGUGGCUCCGGACAGUCACUCACCUUCUCUAAAACCCACCUCCACCUAGUCUAUAAAAUGCAGAGAACGAACAAUGCCUACUCCACUGAAUUGUAUGAGCAUUAGAAAGGGUGUGUGCAAAUCACCUGACAUUUGGC
rnacentral:lncRNA from 1 species